GACAGAAUUACUUUUGAUGCUUUCCCUGGAGAGCCUGACAAGGAGCUGAACCCUAAGAAGCAGAUCUGGGAGCAGAUCCAGCCUGACCUGCACACCAAUGACGAAUGUGUGGCCAUGUACAAAGGAGCUCCCUUUGAGGUGAAGGGGAAGGGAGUUUGCAGGGCCCAAACCAUGGCCAACAGCGGAAUUAAAUAAGUGCUCUAUAACUGAAAGACACCACUGAAGCCUUAAUAACAAUAAGGAGGAGUGAGUUUAUCACUUACACAUUUAAAAAAAAGAAA
rnacentral:lncRNA from 1 species